AUGCCACUCUCCAGUCUGCUCUGGGUGCUCUUGGCCUUCACCUUCUCUGGAUCUGGUGUGGCCCAGAAAGUUACUCAAGACCAACCAGAAAUAUCCAGUCAAGUUGGGGAGUCAGCCACCAUGAACUGUCAGUAUGAGACAAGUUGGAACAGUUAUCACAUUUUCUGGUACAAACAACUUCCCAGUGGAGAGAUGAUUUACCUUAUUGGUCAGAAUUCUUACAGCCCGAAUGCAAGGUAUGGCCGCUACUCAAUACAUUUUCAGAGAUCACGUAAAGCCAUCAGCCUCAUUAUCUCAGCCUUAAAGCUGGAAGACUCAGCAAAGUACUUCUGUGCUCUCUGGGAACUCACAGUGGUUGAAGUGAUAGGAAAAGCUGAACAAAAACUCCUGAGCUGGAUAAGGAAAAGACACCCUCCCCCACAACCUGACCCCCUCCCACCCCCGCUGCAGGACUACCACCAAAAUACACACCUGCAGACCCCAGACAAGAGAUGA